GAUGAACGCUGGCGGUAUGCUUAACACAUGCAAGUCGAACGGACUCUUCGGAGUUAGUGGCGGACGGGUGAGUAACGCGUGAGAAUCUGGCUUUGGGUUCGGGACAACCACUGGAAACGGUGGCUAAUACCGGAUGUGCCGAGAGGUAAAAGAGAAAUUGCCUGAAGAUGAGCUCGCGUCUGAUUAGCUAGUUGGUGAGGUAAAGGCUCACCAAGGCAGCGAUCAGUAGCUGGUCUGAGAGGAUGACCAGCCACACUGGGACUGAGACACGGCCCAGACUCCUACGGGAGGAAGCAGUGGGGAAUUUUCCGCAAUGGGCGAAAGCCUGACGGAGCAAUACCGAGUGAGGGAAGAAGGCUCUUGGGUUGUAAACCUCUUUUCUUAGGGAAGAACAAAAUGACGGUACCUAAGGAAUCAGCAUCGGCUAACUCCGUG
rnacentral:rRNA from 1 species